GAUGAACGCUGGCGGCGUGCUUAACACAUGCAAGUCGAACGAUGAAGCCGGAGCUUGCUCUGGUGGAUUAGUGGCGAACGGGUGAGUAACACGUGAGUAACCUGCCCUUGACUCUGGGAUAAGCGCUGGAAACGGCGUCUAAUACCGGAUACGAGCUUCCACCGCAUGGUGAGUUGCUGAAAGAAUUUCGGUCAAGGAUGGACUCGCGGCCUAUCAGCUUGUUGGUGAGGUAACGGCUCACCAAGGCGACGACGGGUAGCCGGCCUGAGAGGGUGACCGGCCACACUGGGACUGAGACACGGCCCAGACUCCUACGGGAGGCAGCAGUGGGGAAUAUUGCACAAUGGGCGCAAGCCUGAUGCAGCAACGCCGCGUGAGGGACGAAGGCCUUCGGGUCGUAAACCUCUUUUAGCAGGGAAGAAGCGAAAGUGACGGUACCUGCAGAAAAAGCACCGGCUAACUACGUGCCAGCCGCCGCGGUAA
rnacentral:rRNA from 1 species